rnacentral:rRNA from 1 species
UGCCAGAACCAGAUCUCCCUGCAGCUCUCACCUGGUUUCCUACUGAAGCUAAGCAGGGUUGAGCCUGGCCAGUACCUGGAUGGGAGACCUGGGGAAAACUAAGGUUGCUGUUGGAA